GCGGGCGUGGAUCGUGGUACAACUCCUGUAACGAGUCCAAAUACCGGGUUCGAUUCCCGGCGCCUGUG